CCAUCUUCAUGGAGGCUUCUUUGGAAGAAAUGGCAAGCGUUUGAGCUUGCCUGCGGUUCAAGGUACAUAGGGGGGAAUAGCAGCAAAUGGAACUGGGAAACAAAGAUCAGAGGUAGAUCAUGGAGAGCUUUGAAUGGUUUGCCAAGAAAACUGUGAUAUUUCAUAAAAGCAGUAGAGAGCUAUGGAUGUAAUGUCAGUACAAAUUUAAACACACACACACACUUAGAGCAGAGCUUCACAUAUAAUAAGUACUUAACAAAUGGUAGUAUUAUUAAUUGUUGUCUUAGUUCAGGCUGUUACAAGAAAUACGGUAGACUGAGUGGCUUAAACAACAGAAAGUUACAUGUCACAGUAACUUUGAGAGGCUAGAGGUCUGAGAACAGGAUGCCAGCAGGGCCAGGCUCUGGUGAGCUCUCUCUCCCUGGCUCUCAGAUGGCCACCUUCUUGUCGUAUGCUCACAUGACAGAGAGAGACAGGAACAGAGAUGGGGACAAGGGGACGGGCUCUCUAGUCUCUUCUUAGAAAGGCACUAAUCCCAUCAGGACCUCAUCUAAACCUCAUUACUUCCCAAAGGUCCCACUUCCAAAUACCAUCCCACUGACGACUUCAGGAUGUAAAUUUUGUAGGGAUAUAAAACACUCAGCCCAUAGAAGUUAUCAUUAUGAAAAGGAGUUAUAAGAAGGAAGUAAUAUGGUCACAUUCGCUUUAGAAAGUUCACCCUGGUAGAUAUGUGGGAUCAUAAGUGAAGUGAUAUCGCCAUCACUGGCAGUACCUACUCGUGUUGGCAGGUUAGGUCCAGGCUCCUCCUCUCUGCUUCCACAAUGCCUCUGCUUCCCUCUCUCACCACAUUUAGUACACGUGUCUGCAUUUAUGUUGGUCUCUCAAGUUAGAUUAUUAACUUUGUGAGGGCAGAGAUUGUAUUGAUCUCUGUGUCUUUAGCACUGUCUAUUUAAAAAUAUUUAAAUGCACGUGACUCCACACUCCCCCAUGGCACCGUGGCUGAUCCAUCUCCUCCACUUGGUUUCCCCUCCUCCCUCCAUAUCCCACCUUCAAGUGCCUGAUCACUGCAGCCUGCUCCUGUCUCAAGCUUAGGAUGCCAUGUUUCCAAAGUUCCACUCAGACUGUGGGUGGUAGAUAUGUGGUCUGGCCCCCCUCACGUUCCAGAACCAUUCACAUCCGUGUUUCCAGUUUCUUUGCACUUGCCUUGAAAUUGAUGACAAAUGAAUUUUGCAAGCCCAUCUAGGAAAUUACCUCAGUACUCAAGUCAUUUCCUGGGGCCAUUUAAAUUCUUAAAUGUGUGGAGAAGGUUGAGGUCCUUUUUCUUUUUAAAUUCCCUGGACCACUGGUAAACCCCUGUCACCCUAAUAAAUGGAUGGGAGAUGAUGUCACAGAACUGUAAAAGCUCUCGUUGCUUCAGCCCUCCCCUCAUUGGUGGUUCAGGACUGACUUAGAUUUCUCUGACCUUGAGGCUGACGUGUCAGAUCACUGGGAUUUGGCUCAGACCUUCUGCUGCUUGAGGCAAUGGAUGGUCAGAGAGGUCUUGGAAGAAGACAUUAACUUUUUUCACCAUCAUACUGUUAAGCUGCACAUCCCACUGACACAACCCAUGCGGAUCACUUAGCCAUUCAUUAGUUUAAGGAACAUUUAUACUGCUCUUACAAUGGUCAAGGCCGUGCUGGAUUCUGAGGUCACGGAAGUGAGUAAGACAUAUGCACUACCCUGGAGGAGACAAAGCAUCAUGCCAAAAUGAAGCAGUCAUGACUAAGACUUGCUCACUCAUAUCAAUCAUUUCAGGGCUCAUAAAUAAAGAAUAUGUAUAACUACAUGGCUUUUACAUGUGGUUAUAUGUAAACAAUAUACAGUAUAAUACAAUAUUGAGGACAGCAAGGACUUUAAGGAAUGUAUAUAUGUAUACAUAUAUUUGAAAUAAAUAUAUAGCUAUUAUGUGUGCAUAUAUUAUAUAUAUAUAUCUUUGUAUAUUUAUAUGGGUAUGCAUACCUACAUAUAGCUAUCCUAUAUAUAGCCUAUAUAUUUCCUGUAUGUAUAUUAUAUGUAUAUAUUUCAUAUGUAUAUAUUUACUGUAGUAUUUACUAUUAGCCAGGGCCUUUUUCAAACAUUCUCACAAAUUAACUCAUUUAAUUCUCACACUACCUCCAUGAAAUAUGUACUAUUACCAUUAUCCACAUUUUACAGAAUAGGAAACUGAAGCUUAGACAUUUUAAGUAAUGCACUCAUGAUCUACUAAGCUGUCGAGCAAGGAUUUGAAUCAGGCAGAGUACCUCCAGAGGCUAUGUUAUUAAACUGUUUGCUGUAAACUGUGAAGGAAGAAAAUAAUAGAAUUCUUCCCAGCUGAGGAAGCUGUAUUUGCAUGCAGACUUUGGGGCAGGAGAGAAAUAUUUGAACAAAUUAUUUGAGGUGGAACUUUGUAGACCAUUCUCAAAGAAUGGGCAAAUGGUUUAAUUUGGCUUAACAUAAGAAAAGGAUGCCUAUCUUUUGCUUCUUGAGAAGGUCAUGUGUAAGAGGGGUUUCAUUCUGGAGGGUAGCAUGAAAGCCAAUGGGGAGAGGGUACAGGGACACAGAUGAAGGCUGCCUUUUUACCAGCAAAGAUGGACAAGAGUGGGGUAUCACCUGUUUGUCCCAGCUUGGCCUGUCUAAAUAGUCUAGCCUUCUGGUCCCUCCCUUUGAGCUCUGGGAUUCCACGAAGUUGACUUUGUAAUACAACAGCGCUAAAACAGGAGAGGGCUCCUGUCUUGCCUGAAGAGAUCACCAAUAUCCACAGCUGACAAUAAAGGCACUUAAAUCUGGCCAGUUGUCUACUGCUAUAAAACAAACCCCACCCCAAACUUGAGAUUAUAAAACAGCAAUCUUUUUAUUGUGUUCCCAGAUUCUGUAGGUCAGGAAUUGGGAAAAGCCAUGGUGGCCUGUCAAUUAGAACACCUAUAGGAAGAUUCUCCACAUGGCUGGUUGUGUUUCCUCCCAAGAUGGCAGUUAGGUUCCAAGUGUUACCACCCAAAUAGACUCAACUGGAAGCUGUAUUGCCUUUUAUGACCUGGUUUUGAGGUCACAUAGAGUCACUACUAGUAUAGUCACAAGCCCAUCCAGAUUCAAGAAGAAACUAGAAUCCUACAAUUGAAAUCAUGAAUGUCAAGUUUAUAUUGUACAAUGAGCACAUGGGAUGGGAGAGCUUGCUGUGGCCAUCUUUGGAAAAUGCAGUCUCCCACAGAACCUCAUCUUCAGAAUGAGAUGUGGAGUUUGCUUAUUAAAAACAAAAACAAAAUCAGUCCAUCAAAAAGUCAUCAACAUCAGCCCCGCCCAGUUUCCGAAGUCAUCUGACCACUGAAUGCUUUUCCUAUGAGACUCUUAAAAGAUAAGCAUUCCUCAAGUCUACCUUUAUUUUUUUUUUUUUUGUCUUAUGUCUUUUUUGUUGUUGUUGUUGUUGUUGUUGUUGUUGCUAUUUCUUGGGCCACUCCUGCGGCAUAUGGAGGUUCCCAGGCUAGGGGUUGAAUCGGAGCUGUAGCCACCGGCCUACGCCAGAGCCACAGCAACGCGGGAUCCGAGCCGCGUCUGCAACCUACACCACAGCUCACGGCAACGCCGGAUCAUUAACCCACUGAGCAAGGGCAGGGACCGAACCCGCAACCUCAUGGUUCCUAGUCGGAUUCGUUAACCACUGCACCACGACGGGAACUCC
rnacentral:lncRNA from 1 species